AAGCUGAACUUUAGCCCUGCCGCUGAGGCUUCCACCAUCACGGUGCGGAAGCUUAAGUUCCACGUGCAGAAGCUGCUGAAGCAGGUGGACUUCCUGAACUGGGAGGUCACCGAUAGCAACCUGCACGAGCUGCGCGUGUUGCGGCGUUACCGGCAGCAGCGGCGGGAGGACUACACGCGCUGCAACCAGCUGAACCGUGCCGUGCGUGACCUGGCGCGGCGCCUGCGCGACCUGCGGAGCGUGACCCGUUCCGCAUGCGCACUUCCGCCGCGCUGCCGGACAAGCUGUGUGCUCUCGGCCUGGUGCCCACGCGCGGUUCACUGGAGCCCUGCGACUUCAUCAGGGCCUCCUCCUUCUGCCGCCGCCGCCUUCCCACCUUGCUCCUCAAGCUGCGCAUGGCGCAGCACCUUCAGGCUGCCGUGGCCUUUGUGGAGCAAGGCCACAUACGCGUGGGCCCUGACGUGGUUACCGACCCUGCCUUCCUUGUCACGCGCAGCAUGGAGGACUUUGUCACUUGGGUCGACUCGUCCAAGAUCAAGCGACACGUGCUGAAGUACAACGAGGAGCACGAUGACUUCGAUCUGGAAGCCUAGCGGCUCUCCCACUCUCCACGGCUGUCUCUUACAGAUGGGAAAACUGAGACCUGAUGCUGAAGAUUCUCUGAGGGUGCUCUCCCGAAGAGUGUCAAACGGCUGUAGGUACUUAAGAACUUGAUACAUCAAGGGCAGGCCGUGCACAGAGCCACAGGAGGUACGUUCUUAUUUUCCAGGAAAUGUUCUUAGAACUUGGACUACUGAUUUUUGUGCCUUGGGAAACAGUCGGAAGUAACUUGGUGCUGCUCUGGGGUAUUGUUGGCUUCUUGCGUUGGAAACUUUGUAAUGUAAAAGCAAAAACUGCAAAUCCCCACACUCUGUUUCCCUUUAUCGUCUUGUAGCUGGACUGGUUCCAUUCAUUUAACUCGAAUUCUUGCUCCUGUCCAUGGGGUUAAGCUGUGUAGAGAUGAUGCGGAGUUUGGUGAGCUCAAGUUUUUAUAAACUCAGUGAGACUAGUGUGUUCAGGAUCGCCUCCCUUGUUUAAAGAAAUGCUUUCCUAAUGCCAUUAAAUGACUCAGCUGCUUUGUAAGUGCAAAAAAAAAAAAAAAAA